UGAUCCUGGCUCGAACGAACGCUGGCGGCAGGCCUAACACAUGCAAGCCGAACGAAAAGACCUUCGGGUGGUGGACAGUGGCAGACGGGUGAGUAACGCGUGGGAACCUACCUAGUGACGGAACAACAUCGGGAAACUGGUGCUAAUACCGUAUACGUCCUUCGGGAGAAAGAUUUCGCCAUUAGAUGGGCCCGCGUUGGAUUAGCUUGUUGGUGAGGUAAAAGCUCACCAAGGACGAUCCAUAGCUGGUCUGAGAGGAUGAUCAGCCACACUGGGACUGAGACACGGCCCACUCCUACGGGAGGCAGCAGUGGGGAAUAUUGCACAAUGGGCGCAAGCCUGAUGCAGCUGCCGCGUGAGUGAAGAAGGCCUUAGGGUUGUAAAACUCAAUCACCGGUGAAGAUAAUCGGUAGCCGGAACGAAGCCCCGGCUAACUCCGUGCCAGCAGCCGCGGUAAUACGGAGGGCUAGCGUUGUUCGGAAUUACUGGGCGUAAAGCGCGCGUAGGCGGGCUGGUCAGUUGGGUGAAAUCCCGAGGCUUAACCUCGGAACUGCCUUCAAUACUGCCAGUCUUGAGUCCGGGAGGUGAGUGGAAUUCCUAGUGUAGAGGUGAAAUUCGUAGAUAUUAGGAAGAACACCAGGCGAAGGCGGCUCACUGGCCCGGUACUGACGCUGAGGCGCGAAAGCGUGGGGAGCAAAGGAUUAGAUACCCUGGUAGUCCACGCCGUAAACGAUGAAUGCUAGCCGUCGGUCGGCGCCGUUCGGUGGCGCAGCUAACGCAUUAAGCAUUCCGCCUGGGGAGUACGAUCGCAAGUAAAACUCAAAGGAAUUGACGGGGGCCCGCACAAGCGGUGGAGCAUGUGGUUUAAUUCGGCAACGCGAAGAACCUUACCAGCCCUUGACAUCGAUGGAAUCUUUCCGAGAGGAAGGUGCCCUUCGGGGACCUGAAGACAGGUGCUGCAUGGCUGUCGUCAGCUCGUGUCGUGAGGUUGGGUUAAGUCCCGCAACGAGCGCAACCCUCGCCUCUAGUUGCCAGCAUUAAGUUGCACUCUAGAGGGACUGCCGGUGAUAAGCUGGAGGAAGGUGGGGACGACGUCAAGUCAUUGGCCCUUACGGGCUGGGCUACACACGUGCUACAAUGGCGGUGACAGUGGGCAGCCACCGCGAGGAGGAGCUAAUCCCCAUAAACCGUCUCAGUUCGGAUUGCACUCUGCAACUCGUGCAUGAAGUUGGAAUCGCUAGUAAUCGUGGAUCAGCAUGCCACGGUGAAUACGUUCCGGCCUUGUACACACCGCCCGUCACACCAUGGGAGUUGGUUUUACCCGAAGGUAGUGCGAACCGCAAAGAAGCAGCUAGCCACGGUAGGGUCAGCGACUGGGGUGAAGUC
rnacentral:rRNA from 1 species